rnacentral:rRNA from 1 species
AAUCUUUGAACGCACAUUGCGCCCCUUGGCAUUCCGAGGGGCAUGCCUGUUCGAGCGUCAUUACAACCCUCAAGCUCUGCUUGGUAUUGGGCUUCGUCCUCAUCGGACGUGCCUCAAAGGCCUCGGCGGUGGCGUCUUGCCCUCAAGCGUAGUAAAACUUUCUCGCUUUGGAGGUCGGGGCGCCCCCCGCCGGACGAACCUUUUUACUUCUAUCAAGGUUGACCUCGGAUCAGGUAGGGAUACCCGCUGAACUUAAGCAUAUCAAUAAGCGGAGGAAAAGAAACCAACAGGGAUUGCCUCAGUAACGGCGAGUGAAGCGGCAACAGCUCAAAUUUGAAAUCUGGCCCUUUCAGGGUCCGAGUUGUAAUUUGUAGAGGAUGUUUCGGCGAGUGCUCCCGUCUAAGUUCCUUGGAACAGGACGUCAUAGAGGGUGAGAAUCCCGUAUGUGAUGGGUUGCGCGAGCCAUGUGAAACUCCUUCGACGAGUCGAGUUGUUUGGGAAUGCAGCUCUAAAUGGGAGGUAAAUUUCUUCUAAAGCUAAAUACCGGCCAGAGACCGAUAGCGCACAAGUAGAGUGAUCGAAAGAUGAAAAGCACUUUGGAAAGAGAGUUAAAAAGUACGUGAAAUUGUUGAAAGGGAAGCGCUUGCAACCAGACUUGCUCGCAGUUGCUCAACCCGCCUCCUGGUGGGUGUACUCUUCUGCGGUCAGGCCAGCAUCAGUUCGAGCGGUCGGAUAAAGGCGCCGGGAAUGUAGCUCCUCUCGGGGAGUGUUAUAGCCCGGCGUGGAAUGCGACCUGCUCGGACUGAGGAUCUCGCU